GGAGUUGUGGCUCAGUGAUAGAGCGCUUGCCUCAUACGUGUGAGGCACUGCGUUGGAUCCUCAGCACCACCU
rnacentral:tRNA from 1 species